AUUGAACGCUGGCGGCAGGCCUAACACAUGCAAGUCGAGCGGAUGAAGGGAGCUUGCUCCUGGAUUCAGCGGCGGACGGGUGAGUAAUGCCUAGGAAUCUGCCUGGUAGUGGGGGGUAACGUCCGGAAACGGGCGCUAAUACCGCAUACGACCUGAGGGAGAAAGUGGGGGAUCUUCGGACCUCACGCUAUCAGAUGAGCCUAGGUCGGAUUAGCUAGUUGGUUGGGUAAAGGCCUACCAAGGCGACGAUCCGUAACUGGUCUGAGAGGAUGAUCAGUCACACUGGAACUGGGACACGGUCCAGACUCCUACGGGAGGCAGCAGUGGGGAAUAUUGGACAAUGGGCGAAAGCCUGAUCCAGCGGUGCCGCGUGUGUGACGAAGGUCUUCGGAUUGUAAAGCACUUUAAGUUGGGAGGAAGGGCAGUAAGUUAAUACCUUGCUGUUUUGACGUUACCAACAGAAUAAGCACCGGCUAACUUCGUG
rnacentral:rRNA from 1 species